rnacentral:rRNA from 1 species
UACAGAGGUCCCGAGCGUUGUUCGGAUUUAUUGGGCGUAAAGGGUGCGUAGGCGGCGGAGUAAGUUGGGUGUGAAAUCCCGGGGCUUAACCUCGGAAUUGCAUUCAAUACUGCUUCGCUUGAGUACUGGAGAGGAGGCUGGAAUUUACGGUGUAGCAGUGAAAUGCGUAGAUAUCGUAAGGAAGACCAGUGGCGAAGGCGGGUCUCUGGACAGUUCCUGACACUGAGGCACGAAGGCCAGGGGAGCAAACGGG